CGUAAUAGCUCACUGGUCGAGUCGGCCUGCGCGGAAGAUGUAACGGGGCUAAACCAUGCACCGAAGCUGCGGCAGCGACACUAUGUGUUGUUGGGUAGGGGAGCGUUCUGUAAGCCUGUGAAGGUGUACUGUGAGGCAUGCUGGAGGUAUCAGAAGUGCGAAUGCUGACAUAAGUAACGAUAAAGCGGGUGAAAAGCCCGCUCGCCGGAAGACCAAGGGUUCCUGUCCAACGUUAAUCGGGGCAGGGUGAGUCGACCCCUAAGG
rnacentral:rRNA from 1 species